GGCGAGAUCCACGUAAUAACAUUGUUCGUUGGCUUGUGACACAAUUUGUACAGAAAUGAUAUCCUGGCUUCAUGAGUUCCCUCACACAAGUUCCUUUCUCUGCACAAUACAUGUCAAAAAGUUCAAGAGCACACCAGUAUUUGUGAAGUGAUCAGAUUCAGGUAUCUGCAUUAUUGCUUGUACUAGUGACUCAUUAUUCAAUGCUAGCAGUCAUGGUUAUUCAGGUGCUUCAACCUGGUCUCCAUUUUCCAGUACUUGUACCUGUGACUUUUGUGUAGAAAGGAUAUUGAUUGAGACUUCUCUAAGAUACCCUGCUGCUGAGGUGAUGAAGCAGUGCAGCAGCAAGCAUCUAUAACUGUACACAGUCACAGUGACAGAAAUAUUUUCUCCUGUAGUGAUAAAUGAUGACAGAUUUGUCCAUUAGAUAAGCAAAUACUUCUUUGUCAGGAGCAGUUUCCUUGAAAACAAUACUUGGCUUAAGCUUCUGACAGAAAUGAUGUAAGUAAAAGAAGCUAACUUAUAUCUAUAAUAUAAUACUGCUAUUCUUAUUAA